rnacentral:rRNA from 1 species
CGAGUUUGAUCAUGGCUCAGGAUGAACGCUAGCGGCAGGCUUAACACAUGCAAGUCGAGGGGUAUUGGUUUUCGGACCAAGAGACCGGCGCACGGGUGCGUAACGCGUAUGCAAUCUACCUUUUGCAGAGGGAUAGCCCAGAGAAAUUUGGAUUAAUACCUCAUAGUAUAGUACUUUGGCAUCAAGGAACUAUUAAAGUCACAACGGCAAAAGAUGAGCAUGCGUCCCAUUAGCUAGUUGGUAAGGUAACGGCUUACCAAGGCUACGAUGGGUAGGGGUCCUGAGAGGGAGAUCCCCCACACUGGUACUGAGACACGGACCAGACUCCUACGGGAGGCAGCAGUGAGGAAUAUUGGACAAUGGGCGCAAGCCUGAUCCAGCCAUGCCGCGUGCAGGAUGACGGUCCUAUGGAUUGUAAACUGCUUUUGUACAGGAAGAAACCCUUUCACGUGUGGAAGAUUGACGGUACUGUAAGAAUAAGGAUCGGCUAACUCCGUG